GAGGGAGAGGCGCUCGCCGCCGUGGCCCCACCCGGGGAGGACGUUCUCCGCCGCCGCGCGGAGCUCGAGCCAGCCCCGGUGCCUCAGGCGCACGGUGACCGACCACGCCGGCCUCCCCUCCGGCGGCGGCGGCGGCGGCAUCUGGUGGCUCGCGUCGCGGCGGCGCUUUGCUUUUGCUUUGCGUCGCCUUCGGAGGAGAGAUGGAGCAACGGUCGCGCGGUGAACAGGGAGGGCGCUUCGCUCCACCGUCCGAUCUGGAUCGCGGGGGAAAUGUCACAGAGAGCUUUGGAGCUGAAGAGGAUGUUAAGCAUAAAGCACCUGACGUUGAACAUUGAUGUCUGGAUGGUCCCUGUGUCUGCAGGCCUCAUGGCAUUGCACACCUCCUCUUCUCGUCUCAUUCUGUUGCUAGGUAGCAGUAAUGGAGGAUGGGGCCGGCGGUGCUCCUCCAUGAUUUGCUCUAAGCAACAACCUUACAUGUCAAAGAGCUAGUAUUAUCAUAGUCAAUUCAGUACUAUACCUACCUAAUCCUAGGGUUCCUUACAUGCUUCCUCUCCUCCUUGCAUCCUCAGUUGCACUGCCAGUGUAAACACAAGGCAAAAAGGAGAUGAGAGCACAUCAUGGAUCAUGGAUCUUGUGUAGGUGCAUCACUGUAGCACUGUACACUGAAUUUUUGUUAGGAUCCACCCAUGUUCACAUCAUUUUACUCUAUGAGAGGUUGUACAAAAAUAUACAGCAUAUACGAACAGUGAAUUCUACAAAUUUCUGGGCCUGCUUGGUUAAGCUCUGGAUUGUAAACCCCAUACAGUUUUGAACCCUGGAGCUUUGUUUUUGGAAUCUCAGAAUUUAAUUGUAUAACACCUUUUUCUACUGAUUUAAAGAUUCACAGAGCAAUCAUGCAGCUCUGAAAGUGAAAUUCAGGUGAAACUGAAAGCUGCAACAUGCCUAGCUACCCAGCUACAGUGAGUGAUGAGAAUGUGCAAGCAUCAAUGGCGUCGGUGUCAGCCUCCAUGCAAAGCUAUGGGCUCCCAGUCUCCCAGAUAGGCUUUUGGACUCUUGAGUUUUGAGAGGUGACUGCCCGGUGGGCCCGGCCCCUGAUGGUGAGAGGCCACAGGAGGUGGAGGCCA